GGUUUACCGCCUUGGGAUAGGCUUGCGUCUGAUUAGCUAGUUGGUGUGGUAACGGCACACCAAGGCUACGAUCAGUAACUGGUCUGAGAGGAUGAUCAGUCACACUGGAACUGAGACACGGUCCAGACUCCUACGGGAGGCAGCAGUGAGGAAUAUUGGGCAAUGCUCGAAAGAGUGACCCAGCAACGCCGCGUGGAGGAUGAAGGUAUUCUAUAUCGUAAACUCCUGUGAGAGCAGACGAAAGACAGAUUAUUAAUCUGGAUGACUGUAUGCUCAGAGGAAGCCCCGGCUAACUCCGUG
rnacentral:rRNA from 1 species